rnacentral:rRNA from 1 species
AUGCUGCACCUCUUUCUUUCUUUGCCACAGCAGCAAGAAGCAGCCACACAAGCAGUAGUAGCUCGACAAGCUUCCAGGAACAGCACAAGGCAGCAGCAGCAACAGUUCCUCCUCUAUUCAGCAGCACCAAUAGCAGCAGCUCCCCGCCGCAGCCUGACUCGUACGCAGUCCAAAUCCACCGCCGCCUUCUUCCUCCUAUUCUUCCCGCCGCAGCACCCUCCUCAGUCGCCCCCUGCGCAGCUAGCCACCUCAGGGACACGAAGCAGGACAAGAGGAAGCAGCUCCCUCCCUGCCACGUCGCAGCUCCUCGAGCCUAGCCGCGCCACCACCGCACACACCACAGCAGACCCGCCGCCAUGCACAUGCACGCAGCCUCAUUGA